rnacentral:tRNA from 1 species
CAGAAGAUAGUUUAAAUAAAAUACUAAUCUUGGAAAUUAAUGAAGGUUGUCCUCUUCUGA